UAUUUCGUAGAAAGGAGAGAUGGUUGGCAUCUCCCCAGACAGGGACGGGAACAGCCUUCGGGCUUACCUGAUACCGGACACAUCCGGUUAAGGCUACCCACUUUGGUGGAUUUAUAACCCAAUUUUUUA